UUCAGUUUUUAUCACUGUAAAUAUCCCAUUUGUAAUCUCAGUUCACUGGACCUUUAAACCGUCAGUCCGUGCUACAAAUCAUAUUGGACACGGUAGUCCAGGGAGAAGGACGUCAGUAUACUUCUCUUUAUAUCUAAAUUGUAUCACCAUUGAAUUCUUUAUCUACAUGGCUGGCACUGUGAUGACAAUUUUUAGUUAUAUGGUCCUGAUUUUCUGAGGUCCUGUCCGCCUGUGUAUUCCUUCUUGUGAUUUCCCAACAACCUGAUAUCCCGAGGAACUCGGUUAUGUGUGGUGUCCUACCUGUGGACCCAUAAGACGUGUGUGUGUGUUUGAAGGGAUGUUUCUUCGUAGAACACGUCUUGUAGCAGGGACGGAGUGUGUAAAGGACAAAACAGUAGUGACAAACCAGGGACUGUUUCUUGUAGAACACGUCACAGGGACGGGAUGUAUGAAGGACAAACCAGUAGUGACAAACCAUACCAAUCAACAUCUUAUUUUCAUACUUAUAUCUUGAUUAUUAAUUCCAUUAAAUAUGUAAAGUGUUACAAA